ACUUAUCCUCUUAUUAAUUGACAAUAUCAUAAAAUUUGUUUCAAUUCAUUUUCUUAAAGAUUGGGCUCCAACCAGAGCUAAUACCACGGCUCAAGAACGCAUAUUAUCAUAUAUAUGAAGUUAAUUUGUUGUAGGACCUGCUCCAGAACACUAGCUCCAGAACGCUAGCUCUUAUUUAUCGCUCUUCUUUCCUCAGCAUAACUCCAUAGCUCUUCAUAAAUCGAAUAACUGAAGACCUGAGCUGAAGACCUGAAGAACUGAGCUCCACAACUCAAAUUUUAUCAAGUCGAAUUUCUCAAAGAGAUGAAGAGCUUAAGAUACAGAGGUGGGGAUGGAAGAAAUCAAGAGCGGAAGCUGAAGAAAUCAAGUGUUGAGAUUCCUUUUCAUUCUCUAGUCAUCUGUACAACCGAUUUGUGAAGGGAAAUGGGGGUGAUCAAAUUUGAAGUGGAUGAUGAAGAGUUUCCGAACUAUUGUAAAAGUUUGAAUACAUUAUAUUUGAUUUUGUGAAAUAUAUUCAUUGCUAGAAUAUAUUGAACUAUUGUAGUACUUUUUGAACUAUUGUGUACACAUUUAGAAUAUUGAUGUAUAAGUAUGGGUAUGUACACAACACAAACUAUAUCUUUUGAAGUUUAUGGAAAAUCUAUAAAAUUGAAUUACUUAUUA